UACGUAGGGUGCAAGCGUUGUCCGGAAUUAUUGGGCGUAAAGAGCUCGUAGGCGGUUUGUCGCGUCGGCCGUGAAAACCUGCAGCUUAACUGUGGGCCUGCGGUCGAUACGGGCAGACUUGAGUUCGGUAGGGGAGACUGGAAUUCCUGGUGUAGCGGUGAAAUGCGCAGAUAUCAGGAGGAACACCGGUGGCGAAGGCGGGUCUCUGGGCCGAUACUGACGCUGAGGAGCGAAAGCGUGGGGAGCGAACAGG
rnacentral:rRNA from 1 species